GACCAAACUAAUGAAAUCACAAUCAAUUCAACUAAGCAGUUACACAAAGAAUCCAAAAGAAAGAAAGUCCAAGGAUUACGCUAUGAGACAAGAAGCAAGAACCUAGGGUAAUUAAUGUCUACGGUACAGGUUGAGUAAAUAACGGGCAGUGGAACUCGAUUAUUCAAUA